GCCAUCUCCACACUUGUCCCUGUAUUUAAGCUCUCCGGUUUUCACUGCUCUUCACUGUGUCUUUCCGUUUCUAUGCCCGUUACACUUCCUGUUUUGUGCUGAAUGUGACUUUGCCUGUGUUCCCUGCUCUGAUAACCUUGUGCCAGCCAUGUUGCGCUCAGACUGCCGGUGUUCUGCGUCCCCUGCUGAUCCAUUGAUUUGUCUUUGAUGAAGCUGAUUCUGGAGGAGCAUGUGAUAAUGCUCCAUAUGUUUUUGCAGAAGAACUUCACAUGUCCAUCUGAAUGACAUCAGUAUUACAGGGUAUCUAAAGAAGCCUCUGACUGAAAACACUGUUGUCCUGACAGUCUCAUGAUCUCAGGGUUAUUCAUUAUGUUCUUCAUUUUUUGAAGAAUCCUUCUUUGCAUAAUCAUCAAUAGUGACUCAAGAACAUAUUAGAGAAAAGUCCCAGCUUUUAAUCAUCUUGCUGAGCUUUUUUAAGUCCCUGGCUCUAAAUGCUGCUACCUGAACAGAAGAGAUCCCACUCUCCAUAACAAACUUUGCAAACUUGCUCCAAACACUUACCGGACCGGAGGUUCCUCAAGAAGUAAAGUCUGCUCUGUUUCUACUUGUAGAAAGCUUUACUGUUAAGCCUCUGGUCCAGUCUGUUGUCCAGGUGAACAGCAAGAUAUUUAUGUAUAGUCCCCAACCAUCUCUGCUUUUUCACCCAAGAUGGAAACAAUGUUUGACAUUUUCCAGCUUUCUGUUCUCAGCCUCUUGUCCAUCUCUGAUGCACCCGACGGCUGCGGAGUCAUCCGAGUAUUUUUGCAGAUGACAAGACUCUCUUGUACUGGAGAUCUGAGGUGUACAGAGUUAAAAGGAAUAAAAACUGUGCUCGCUCUGUC